rnacentral:rRNA from 1 species
AAAUUGAAGAGUUUGAUCAUGGCUCAGAUUGAACGCUGGCGGCAGGCCUAACACAUGCAAGUCGAACGGUAACAGGAAGCAGCUUGCUGCUUCGCUGACGAGUGGCGGACGGGUGAGUAAUGUCUGGGAAACUGCCUGAUGGAGGGGGAUAACUACUGGAAACGGUGGCUAAUACCGCAUAACGUCGCAAGACCAAAGAGGGGGACCUUCGGGCCUCUUGCCAUCAGAUGUGCCCAGAUGGGAUUAGCUAGUUGGUGAGGUAACGGCUCACCAAGGCGACGAUCCCUAGCUGGUCUGA